GGCGAGAGGAGGUAGUGAAGACAAAUAUCGAUACAGGUCUUCUAAGAGGCUCUGUAAUCGAAAUGAGUGCAACAUAAAUCCUACAACAAGGAUCUAUUGGAGGGCAAGUCUGGUGCCAGCAGCCGCGGUAACUCCAGCUCCAAUAGCAUAUAUUAAAAUUGCUGCAGUUAAAAAGCUCGUAGUUGGAUCUGGGUUCUGGUUUAGAAGCCGUGUCUGAUCGACUGAGGGAGACCUUGGUUUGGUUGGGCUGCGGUUUUUCUGGACCGAAUCUUCCAGCUGUGUCUAUGUGGUACUUCGGUAUCGCUUAGAUAGUAUUGAUUGUCCGGUCAGUUCCUUCUGGUUUCCGGCGUCGGUAUUACGCACUGUUAAUGUCCUUAAUCGGGUGUUCAGUGUGGGCAGCACGUUUACUUUGAACAAAUUUGAGUGCUCAAAGCAGGCCUUAUGUU
rnacentral:rRNA from 1 species